rnacentral:rRNA from 1 species
GAUAUGGCUCAGGACGAACGCUGGCGGCGUGCCUAACACAUGCAAGUCGAGCGGAGACAUACGACGGAUAGGAAGUUUCGGAUGGAAUUGAAGAUGUAUGUUUAGCGGCGGACAGGUGAGUAACGCGUGAGCAACCUGUCCUUCACAGGGGGAUAACACAGCGAAAGUUGUACUAAUACCGCAUAAGACCACAGUAUCACAUGGUACAGGGGUCAAAGGAGCAAUCCGGUGAAGGGUGGGCUCGCGUCCGAUUAGAUAGUUGGUGAGGUAACGGCCCACCAAGUCGACGAUCGGUAGCCGACCUGAGAGGGUGAUCGGCCACAUUGGGACUGAGACACGGCCCAAACUCCUACGGGAGGCAGCAGUGGGGAAUAUUGGGCAAUGGGGGGAAACCCUGACCCAGCAACGCCGCGUGAGGGAAGAAGGUUUUCGGAUCGUAAACCUCUGUCCUUGGUGAAGAGGAAGAGACGGUAGCCAAGGAGGAAGCCCCGGCUAACUACGUGCCAGCAGCGGC